AGGUUGGAUCUAGGCAAUACAUCGUCUUCCCUGGACGUUUUAUCUACACACAGAGGCUUAAAGGCGCAAGUGUAAACGACAAGGAUUUUGAAAUUUAGAUACUAAUUAUGAGCAUGGAAGUUACAUUGCGCAAAACAAGCUCAUCUUUAGCUAAUGAGGUAUAUAGACAAAGAAGAAAUCUACAAAAGCAAAAGAAACGUAAACGAAAUGCAAGUGAUUUGAAUUGUUCAUUGCUACAUGAAUUGAAAAAUGUGUCUGAUUGCAUUCAUUAUGGUGCUAGAAGAUUUAAAUAUGAACCUCCUACUUUUUGUUGUGAUAAUGGAAAAAUUAAACUUGCAUUUUCUGAAGUUCCUCCGGAGUUGCAUGGAUUGUUUACAGACCAGUCAAAAGAAGUUAUUAAUUUCAGAAGGAAUAUUCGUGCUUAUAAUAGUAUAUUCUCAUUUACUUCGUUCGGUAUAAAAUUGGAUAAAGAAUUGGUAUAUGCAAGACAGGGAGUUUAUUCUUUUUGAGCACAAGGCAUGGUUUAUCAUGAUACUGGAUUGAUCCCACAAUAUACGUCUCCAACGUUUUUUUAACUAUACUUUUAUGACACACAAAGUGAGGUUGAGAACAGAAUUAACAUAAUGCAAAAUCAAAUUUCGUCAAAAGCAGUUGUAAAGAUGCUCAUGGGAAUUUUAGAGAUCAACCCGUAUGCAAAAUUCUUUCGAAGAUUGAAAGAUUAUCCUUCAAUGGACAAUGUUCAGCUUUAUAUUUCCAAAGAUAUCAACUUAGAUCAACGGGUAUAUAAUUCUCCACAUGAUAAUCAAGUUGCAGCUAUAUGGGUUGGAGGAAAUAAUGAAAAUAUCCCAUUGGAGCGCGAUAUUGUAGUUCAUGCUCAUUCCGGUGAUACACAUAGAAUAAAGCAUUAUUAUGGAUGUUAUGAUCCAUUGCAAUAUCCACUCUUUUUUCCAAUGGGCGAAACAGGUUGGCAUCAAAACAUUAAAAAAAUUGAUCCAACGUCUUCAGUUUGUAGCACAAAUUAUAUUUCUACUUCUACUUUAUUAGCAAGAACCAUAACUGCAGACGAUAUUAUCUCCAACGAAGA